rnacentral:rRNA from 1 species
AAAUUGAAGAGUUUGAUCAUGGCUCAGAUUGAACGCUGGCGGCAGGCCUAACACAUGCAAGUCGAACGGUAACAGGAAGCAGCUUGCUGCUUUGCUGACGAGUGGCGGACGGGUGAGUAAUGUCUGGGAAACUGCCUGAUGGAGGGGGAUAACUACUGGAAACGGUGGCUAAUACCGCAUAACGUCGCAAGACCAAAGAGGGGGACCUUCGGGCCUCUUGCCAUCAGAUGUGCCCAGAUGGGAUUAGCUUGUUGGUGAGGUAACGGCUCACCAAGGCGACGAUCCCUAGCUGGUCUGAGAGGAUGACCAGCCACACUGGAACUGAGACACGGUCCAGACUCCUACGGGAGGCAGCAGUGGGGAAUAUUGCACAAUGGGCGCAAGCCUGAUGCAGCCAUGCCGCGUGUAUGAAGAAGGCCUUCGGGUUGUAAAGUACUUUCAGCGGGGAGGAAGGUGUUGUGGUUAAUAACCGCAGCAAUUGACGUUACCCGCAGAAGAAGCACCGGCUAACUCCGUGCCAGCAGCCGCGGUAAUACGGAGGGUGCAAGCGUUAAUCGGAAUUACUGGGCGUAAAGCGCACGCAGGCGGUCUGUCAAGUCGGAUGUGAAAUCCCCGGGCUCAACCUGGGAACUGCAUUCGAAACUGGCAGGCUUGAGUCUUGUAGAGGGGGGUAGAAUUCCAGGUGUAGCGGUGAAAUGCGUAGAGAUCUGGAGGAAUACCGGU